rnacentral:rRNA from 1 species
AGAACGAACGCUGGCGGCAUGCCUAACACAUGCAAGUCGAACGAGACCUUUCGGGGUCUAGUGGCGCACGGGUGCGUAACGCGUGGGAAUCUGCCCCUUGGUUCGGAAUAACAGUUAGAAAUGACUGCUAAUACCGGAUGACGACGUAAGUCCAAAGAUUUAUCGCCGAGGGAUGAGCCCGCGUAGGAUUAGCUAGUUGGUGAGGUAAUGGCUCACCAAGGCGACGAUCCUUAGCUGGUCUGAGAGGAUGAUCAGCCACACUGGGACUGAGACACGGCCCAGACUCCUACGGGAGGCAGCAGUGGGGAAUAUUGGACAAUGGGCGAAAGCCUGAUCCAGCAAUGCCGCGUGAGUGAUGAAGGCCUUAGGGUUGUAAAGCUCUUUACCAGGAUGAUAAUGACAGUACCUGGAGAAUAAGCUCCGGCUAACUCCGCGCCAGCAGCCGC